AUGCCUUUUUCAACAGCACAUAUACUAAAAUUGGAAUAAUAAAGAGAAGAUUAGCAUAGCCCCUGUGCAAGGAUGACAUGCAAAUUUAUGAAGCAUUCCAUAUUCCU
ensembl:snRNA U6 U6 spliceosomal RNA